AAUCAUCAAUCAAGCCAGCUUGCUGUGUCUUGCAUUGGGCAGUCACUGUGUCUCUCUCUGACACUGUGCUGCUCUAAGUUCUGUUGACUGAGUUUACGGUCUUUCAACUCUUGGGAUCCACCUAUGUGUCCUGGGUUGGCUGAUGCUGUUGCAGUUGUACAGGUUGGGGGUGUCUUAGCUCUGAGCAACACCCCAACACCGACCACAUAUCAUU
rnacentral:misc_RNA from 1 species